rnacentral:tRNA from 1 species
GAGGGUGUAGCUCAGUGGUAGAGCUCAUGCCUAGCAUGCACGAGGUCCUGGCUUUAAUCCCCAGUACCUCCA